AAAAGCUACUAAGAGCACAUGAUGAAUGCCUUGGUGCCAACAGGCUAAGAAGGACGUGAUAAGCUGCGAUAAGUCACGGUUAGCGGCAAAUACGCUAUAACCCGUGAAUCUCCGAAUGGGGUAACCCGGCUGGAUUAAUAUUCAGUCACCACUGUGUGAAUACAUAGCACAGUGCGAGCAAUACCUGGUGAAGUGAAACAUCUCAGUAACCAGAGGAAAAUAAAACGAAGUGAUUCCGUAAGUAGUGGCGAGCGAAAGCGGAGAAGCCCAAACCUAGAAGCUUGCUUCUAGGGGUUGUAGGACCCCGACAUGGUAGUUAGGAGGUUAGGCGAAGCGUAUGGAAAAACGCUCCACAGAGGGUGACAGACCCGUAACCGAAAACCAAAUAACACCUAGGGAGUUCCUGAGUAAUGCGUCACACGUGAAACGACGCAUGAAUCCACGCCGACCACGGCGUAAGGCUAAAUACUAGUUGGCGACCGAUAGUGAACAAGUACCGCGAGGGAAAGGUGAAAAGAACCGCUGCGAGCGGAGUGAAAUAGUACCUGAAAUCAUGUGCUUACAAGGUGUCAGAGCCCGCAAGGGUGAUGGCGUGCCUUUUGCUUAAUGAGUCUGCGAGUUAGUGUUUGUGGCGAGUCUAAGCCCCUCUGGGGCGGAGGCGAAGCGAAAGCGAGUCCGAAAUGGGCGAAUAGCUGCGGGCACUAGACCCGAAGCCGAGGUGAUCUACCUAUGGCCAGGUUGAAGCGUCAGUAACAUGACGUGAAGGACCGAACCGAUGGGCGUUGAAAAGCCCCCGGAUGAGCUGUAGGUAGGAGCGAAAGACUAAUCAAACCCGGUGAUAGCUGGUUCUCCCCGAAAUCUAUUGAGGUAGAGCCUCGUAUGCUGACCUGCGGAGGUAGAGCACUGGAUGAACUAGGGCCCAUACCCGGGUACCGAAUUCAAUCAAACUCCGAAUGCCGCAGGGUGAAAUACGGGAGGCAGAAUGCGAGGGAUAAGCUUCGUAUUCGAGAGGGAAACAACCCAGACCAGCAGCUAAGGUGCCUAAAUAUUGCUAAGUGGAAAGGAUGUGGAGUUACUUAAACAGUGAGGAUGUUGGCUUAGAGGCAGCCAUCAUUUAAACAGUGCGUAAUAGCUGACUCAUCGAGUGAUUCUGCGCCGAUAAUGAUUGGCGAUAAGCAAUAUACCGAAGCUCUGGAUGCUAGUUUACUAGCGUGGUAGGGGAGCGUUCCCACCGCAUCGAAGCAGUCGGGUAACCGUAUUGUGGAGUGGUGGGAAGUGAGGAUGCAGACAUGAGUAGCGAUAAGACAGGUGUAAUCCCUGUCCGCCGUAAACCCAAGGUUUCCUGGGGAAGGUUCGUCCUCCCAGGGUUAGUCGGGUCCUAAGUCGAGGCCGAUGGGCGUAGACGAUGGUAAGCAGGUUUAAUAUUCCUGCACCGCCGAAAUUUAAACCAGAAUGACGCGGGGUUGGAGAAGAGCGGGGUGAUGAAUGUCCCCGUCGCGCAAGCGGAUGCUAAGGCUUCGGCCAAGGUAGAUUCUUUAAAAACUCCGCCAAGAAAAGCUCUGGCGUAUACUAAGGCGCCCGUACCGUAAACCGACACAGGUGGGUGGGCAUAAGUGUGCCAAGGCGCGUGAGUGAAACCUCGUUAAGGAACUCGGCAAUCUAGCCCCGUAACUUCGGAAGAAGGGGUGCCCAGAAAUGGGUCGCAGUGAAAUGGGUCAACCGACUGUUUAACAAAAACACAGCACUCUGCAAAGUUUUAUGACGACGUAUAGGGUGUGACACGUGACCAAUGCGGAAAGAUUACGGUAAGAGGUUAGCCGCAAGGCGAAGCUUCGAGCUCAAGUCCCCGUGAAUGUCGGCCGUAACUAUAACGGUCCUAAGGUAGCGAAAUUCCUUGUCGGGUAAGUUCCGACCUGCACGAAUCGUGUAACGAGUUGACCGCUGUCUCAACGAGGAGCUCAGCGAAGUUGUAGUGGCGGUGAAGAUGCCGCCUACCCGCAGUAGGACGGAAAGACCCUAUGCACCUUUACUGUACGCUGUCACUGUUGUUUCGAUUUUAUUGCUUAGAGUAAGUGGGAGGCUUUGACUCAUCUCUUUCGGGGGAUGAUGAGCCGCCAAUGAAACACCACCCUGUGAGAUUGGAACAUCUAACCUCGGCCCAUUAUCUGGGCGAGUGACACUGGCAGCCGGUCAGUUUGACUGGGGCGGUCUCCUCCUAAAGAGUAACGGAGGAGUACGAAGGUUGGCUCAACCUGGUUGAUAAUCAGGUGACGAGUAUAUGGAUAUAAGCCAGCUUAACUGCGAGACAUACAAGUCGAGCAGGUACGAAAGUAGGUCCAAGUGAUCCGGUGGUUGAAUGUGGAAUUGCCAUCGCUCAACGGACAAAAGGUACGCUAGGGAUAACAGGCUGAUC
rnacentral:rRNA from 1 species